AUGAGGCCACUAAGGGAUACCGCGCAAGUUGGAGGGGACAAUGCCAUCCAAACACAAAGCUUACAGACUGUCCAAGAGCUCUGGAACGAAUGGGAAAUCCAUUGCCUCAUACUUGCAAGCUUUAGCCUACAAGUAUUCCUCUUCUUUGCAGCAGGCAUGCGGAGGCAUAGUGUGUCCCGCGUCCUCAACUUCCUUAUAUGGUUAGCCUACUUAUCGGCCGACUCUGUGGCCAUUUUUGUUCUUGGACAUCUCGCGGUCCAUGCAAGCGGCUCACACCAUCUUCUUAUCUUCUGGGCGCCAUUCCUCCUCCUCCACUUGGGAGGGCAAGACACUAUCACUGCCUUCUCCACGCAUGAUAACGAGCUCUGGCGACGCCACUUGUUAGGACUGGUCACACAAGCAUCUGUGGCUGGCUACGUCAUCUCAAUAUCAUCUUGGCAAGACAGACUACUCCUAGCUGCCACAGUGCUCAUGUUCCUGUCUGGGAUUUUCAAGUACAUCGGGCGUACCCUUUGCCUUUACAUGUCUAGACCAGAGUCUCUCCGGGGUUCUAUGGUGCUUAAUUUGGAUAGAUAUGUUCAUGGCAUAUACAAUACACCAUAUAUUGAUGGGAGGUAUUCCUGCGAGCAAAUACUAGUGCAAAGAGUAUAUGAUAUGAUGCUUAACAAAGUGAGGCUACCGCCCCUUGGCCGUUCAAGUAUAAUGUUGGAUAGUCCUCUAAAUGAUAUGGCUACUAUUGAAGCUGCACAUAUCAUACCAGACUUGCUACAUGAGCUCAAAUCCAGUCCCAACCGCUCCGGAGCCUAUGUUUAUGUAAGCAAACGGCUAGUUCGUUCUUAUGAAGCAAUCUACACCAAGGCUUUCCUUCAUUUUGCGUGGUUUGUGACUUUCAAAGCAGUAACGUCCCAGGAUUAUAAUAAAAAAACAUUAGCCACAAUAUUUCUUCAUAUUUUUUCAUUCCUAUUACUCUUCCCACUUAUCUCGGCCUUGGUGACAUUAAAGCUCUUCAUGAAUGCCGAAAAGGCCCAACUCUACACCCAGACUGAUGUCACAAUCUCCUACAUAUUACUCAUAGGAGCCACAAUCCUCGAGAUGUCAUCUCUCUUCUUAUCCAUUCUUUCCUACUUUGCAUCUGAAGAAGCAAUAUCUUGUCCGCCUGUAGCUUGUUUAGCUAGCUAUAUUCACCCCGCAGGCGGACAUAGAAAACACUGGUCCAAAAUGCUCUCACAGUAUAACAUCAUGGAAUGGUGUGCCAGACAAAAUGCUACAUGCAUGGAUUUAUGCAUGGAGUUAUGCAAUAAGUCAUUACUAUCACAAUGGAUUGACAAGACAUAUUCAAGAAUCGCUGUCAGUGAAGAUCUGGAGGAGCUUGUCCUUGGCAAGUUGAUAGACUUGGGAAUGGGGGAUAAAAAAUGUUGGAACUUUGCUAGCUUCCGGGGACAGAUAGCGCUCCGGAGGUGGACUGCUAUGUGCACGAUCAUUGAUAGUGCUGACUUGCCAACAAGUGUGAUGAUCUGGCACACUGCAACAGAGUUAUGGUACUACGGAUACGAUAGGAGCAAUAAUUAUCAUCAAACUAACAAGAUGAAGGUGAGCAGAGAGUUGUCAAACUAUAUCAUGUACCUUGUCUUCAAGUGUGAUGUGAUGCUUACAAGCAGCUCCAAGCUCAUACAUAGCAACACCUGCAAGGAAAUCAAUGAAGCUGGAUCUUUUCCAUUUGAAAUAUUUGAACGUAACCUAGAAAGGCGUCAACAAGCUGCUACAACAAUCUGCGUGGACAUUCCUAGUAGCAGCAACAACAAUGAGCCGAUAACUCAAGUGCAACUUUUGAAAAACAAUAUAAAGGCUCUUACUUGUCCGGUGUUGCCUCGUGCAUGUACAGUGGUGGGCGAGAUGGGUGGCAUGUCUGCAGAUGACCGCUGGGACCUCAUCGCGGAGGUAUGGCUAGAGAUGCUUUUCUACAUCGCACCUCGAUGUGGGUCGGCUUUCCAUGCCCAACAUCUAGGUACCGGUGGGGAGUUCGUGACGCAUGUCCUUCUGCUCAUGAAGUUACUAGGCCCUUUUCUACCACCGCCAGAUGCUUAA
rnacentral:rRNA from 1 species